rnacentral:rRNA from 1 species
UACGUAGGGACCAAGCGUUGUUCGGAUUUACUGGGCGUAAAGGGCGCGUAGGCGGCUUGUCAAGUCACUUGUGAAAUCUCUGGGCUUAACCCAGAACGGCCAAGUGAAACUGUCAUGCUAGAGUGCAGAAGGGGCAAUCGGAAUUCUUGGUGUAGCGGUGAAAUGCGUAGAUAUCAAGAGGAACACCUGAGGUGAAGACGGGUUGCUGGGCUGACACUGACGCUGAUGCGCGAAAGCCAGGGGAGCAAACGGG